rnacentral:rRNA from 1 species
AUUGAACGCUGGCGGCAGGCUUAACACAUGCAAGUCGAGCGGGGAAAGGUAGCUUGCUACUCGACCUAGCGGCGGACGGGUGAGUAAUGCUUAGGAAUCUGCCUAUUAGUGGGGGACAACAUCUCGAAAGGGAUGCUAAUACCGCAUACGUCCUACGGGAGAAAGCAGGGGCCCUUCGGGCCUUGCGCUAAUAGAUGAGCCUCAGUCGGAUUAGCGAGUUGGGGGGGUAAAGGCCUACCAAGGCGACGAUCUGUAGCGGGUCUGAGAGGAUGAUCCGCCACACUGGGACUGAGACACGGCCCAGACUCCUACGGGAGGCAGCAGUGGGGAAUAUUGGACAAUGGGGGGAACCCUGAUCCAGCCAUGCCGCGUGUGUGAAGAAGGCCUUUUGGUUGUAAAGCACUUUAAGCGAGGAGGAGGCUACCGAGAUUAAUACUCUUGGAUAGUGGACGUUACUCGCAGAAUAAGCACCGGCUAACUCUGUGCCAGCCGCCGCGGUAA